AUCUUCGAACCAUAGAAGCUCAGGAAUGUGAGUUUGAAAGCUUUCCUCAAGGAUUCAGCGAAGUCAUCAGCUUAAAGAAAAUUAAAUCAAGGGGCCUGAAUUAUAACAAGGACCACUAUGAGAGACUCCAUAUAACAUGGCCAAACUCUAAAAUUAGUCGUGAGAAGCACGUACGGAUGAUGGAAGAAUUACCUUAUUGGAACCUCCAACAUUUGGAAAUAAAGCACUACAGAGGUGGAUCUUGUCCUAGCUGGCUCCGGAAUCUCCUGCCAAUGUUGCAUUCCAUUAUCUUCCAUGAGUGGCAUAACAUUCGGAGUAUAUCAUUCUUUGAACCACUUUGUCUUGAAGAAGUGUCAAACAUCCGUAUUAUUUUAUUACCAGUUAAUUUAGUUAGAUUAUACAUAGUAUUAUUUUAUUACAACUAACACCGUGACCUGCGCACUUUUGCGGACAAAGUCUUUAUUGUGAUAAAAAAAUUGUUUUCAAAUGAAGUUUUUAUUUCACAAUUACAUUUCAUUUUAUGCCAUUUGAAAGAAUAUAUUAUCGUGAAAGGCACUGGAAAUAUUAUGCUUUAUAAAAUCACUAUUGAGCACCUAAGAAUGCAUACAAUAUUCUACAUCAUUUUUUUUGUUAAUUAGCUGAAUACAACAAAAUAAUUAAUCUGGAUGUGAGCAUGUCGCCGAUAAGGUCGCCAAGGAGACAUGAGAUUUUAUCUUCUCUCGCCCUGAUCUUUAUCAUGCACUCAUCUUCCUCUACCGUCCAUUUUAUUUUUCCUUAUCCAUGUUAUCCCUUUUUAUUUAGCGAUGUUGACGUGAAUCAUCACAUUUUUCCAAUAGUCCCAGCCGUAGCUUGUAGAGUUCACAAGAACCAUUCUUGGAGCUACGAUCCACACCACAAUUG
rnacentral:rRNA from 1 species